AGAGUUUGAUCAUGGCUCAGGAUUAACGCUGGCGGCGUGCCUAACACAUGCAAGUCGAACGAGGUAGCAAUACCUAGUGGCAGACGGGUGAGUAACACGUGGUCAACCUACCCUUGAGUGGGGGAUAACCAAUCGAAAGAUUGGCUAAUACCGCAUACGUCUUUUUGUCGCAUGACGAGAAGAUAAAAGGAGCAAUUCGC
rnacentral:rRNA from 1 species